rnacentral:rRNA from 1 species
GGAAUAUUGGACAAUGGGGGCAACCCUGAUCCAGCCAUGCCGCGUGUGUGAAGAAGGCCUUUUGGUUGUAAAGCACUUUAAGCGAGGAGGAGGCUACCCUGAUUAAUACUCAGGAGUAGUGGACGUUACUCGCAGAAUAAGCACCGGCUAACUCUGUGCCAGCAGCCGCGGUAAUACAGAGGGUGCGAGCGUUAAUCGGAAUUACUGGGCGUAAAGCGCGCGUAGGCGGUUUGUUAAGUCGGAUGUGAAAUCCCCGGGCUCAACCUGGGAAUUGCAUUCGAUACUGGCAAGCUAGAGUAUGGGAGAGGAAGGUAGAAUUCCAGGUGUAGCGGUGAAAUGCGUAGAGAUCUGGAGGAAUACCGAUGGCGAAGGCAGCCUUCUGGCCUAAUACUGACGCUGAGGUGCGAAAGCAUGGGGAGCAAACAGGAUUAGAUACCCGUG